rnacentral:rRNA from 1 species
GAACCGUCCAAACGUUUAUUCGGAAUCACUGGGCUUAAAGGGUACGUAGGCGGCCCGGAAAGUUGGGUGUGAAAUCCCUCGGCUCAACCGAGGAACUGCGCUCAAAACUUCCGGGCUUGAGGGAGACAGAGGUGAGCGGAACUUGCGGUGGAGCGGUGAAAUGCGUUGAUAUCGCAAGGAACACCAGUAGCGAAGGCGGCUCACUGGGUCUCUUCUGACGCUGAGGUACGAAAGCUAGGGGAGCGAACGGGAUUAGAUACCCCGGUAGUCCUAGCUGUAAACGAUGAGCACUUGGUUGGAGGCUCCCUCCAUAGGCUUCCAGCCGAAGCGAAAGUGUUAAGUGCUCCGCCUGGGGAGUAUGGUCGCAAGGCUG